rnacentral:lncRNA from 1 species
CCUGCUUCUUAAAAGUGAACUUAUAAGGAGAUGAUGCUAUUCUCUCCCCAAACAGCACUUGCCCAAGAUUUUCUGAUGGUCUUUUCUCUUCCUUAUCUUGACAGAAGUCAAAGGCGUCAUACUCAUAGGGCAGAACUGAUUCAACUGAGUCCAGUCUGUUCACAAAGAGUUCAAUCAGCGACUUGCAGCCCUCGCUCUCCUUGUCGUCGUCACAGAAGCUGACGGGCGCCAAGCCGGGCAGGUAGAAAGCGGCACAAAGGGGAGCCAGCAGCAGGAGGCCGGCCGCCAGCAGCCUCAUCUUCCAGCCUGGAGGAGCGAAGGCAGCAUGAGCCGAUGCGACAGCUCCCGCUUCCC